rnacentral:lncRNA from 1 species
ACCACGUGGGCCAGGCGCCCCGCAGCCUGAUCCCUCGGCUGAGGCGGGGUCAGAGGGCUAAGGGUGACUGACUGCCCAGUGCAUGGAUCUCAGCAGCACGGCUUGACUUUCGGGCGGCAGGCAAGGAUGCUAAUCCACAAGGUUCCUGAGUCCAACAUCCCUCCCUCCAAUGUGGGGCUCGAAUCCGCUAUUGCAACCAAACCCGGGUUCUGCCCGCAGGGUGGCGCAAUGACAAGAGCCACCAGGUGACCCUGGUAACUCCCGCACCUAGGUGUGUGCGGAGCCCAAGAUGUGUUGGGAACAGCUAUCGUUUCUACUGCUUUGUCCCAUGCCUCUGGAGCUCCUGGGUUCCUGAACUUCAAGCUGGGCCCCAUCCUUCACCCUAUCAGGGCCCUGGGUGGAGCUGACUUCCAACAGUAUACAGUGGGUCUUGGUACUUCCUCCUUGGCAUUCGACAGUUGGUGUUUUUGAAGUCAGAGCCAUCCUCAGUAGGCUCCUAGGGGAUCGUAAGCGGCUUUCUCUGGGUGGAAACCUACUCCAUGCAGCCUUCAGCAAAGGAUCCUACGGCUGUUGAUCCCCUCGGAAGUGAGACAUAAUGUCCCGGAGCAGAUGCUGAUGGGGACUCACUGUUGGGCCACCUGAUUUCUGUGUUCAUCUUCCCAGGCUCCACCUUUCAGAUCCCAUCCCUGGUGUCUGCAGUUACAACUUUACUAACCAGAACUUUGUUUCCAGCUUACGCUGAAAAGCAAAGGGUGACUUAGAAUAAAAAUGUAACAAAUAGCCCCAUAGCCCAAACCUUUUCUGCCAUGAUUUACUGUACCAGAUACCUAUAAGUGUCCAGGGCAAAUUAAACACAUCAAUAAAUGGCUUUCUUGU